rnacentral:rRNA from 1 species
UACGUAGGGUGCGAGCGUUAAUCGGAAUUACUGGGCGUAAAGCGUGCGCAGGCGGCGCGUUAAGACAGGUGUGAAAGCCCCCGAGCUUAACUUGGGAAUUGCGCUUGUGACUGGCGUGCUGGAGUGUGGCAGAGGGGAGGUGGAAUUCCACGUGUAGCAGUGAAAAUGCGUAGAGAUGUGGAGGAACACCGAUGGCGAAGGGCAGCCUCCUGGGCCAGCACUGACGCUCAUGCACGAAAGCGUGGGGAGCAAACAGG